GGAGAUGAGGGUGGUCUGGCUCAGACAUCAGCCACCUCCUAGCUCAGCACAGUUUUUUAUUCAGCUGAUGUCUGACAACAGGGGUGUCCCCGUCCUUUCCCCCCACUCCACGCAUGUCCCUCCUGAAGCUAUGAAGUCGCUUGUUUUGUCAAAGAGAAAGACCUUGCCCAAAUACAGGAGAACCAUUCCUGGGUCAAGGGCACGCAGGGAGCUGUGGUCUCCUGCUAGAUUCUCCAAAUCAACUCUCAAGUGAAUCAUUUUGCUCUUCCUAAGGCAUUAAAGCCCAUAGUGAUGUAAGCUGCAUGUGGUUUUAAGCAUUAUCUA
rnacentral:snRNA from 1 species